rnacentral:misc_RNA from 1 species
GAUGAAGAACGCAGCGAAAUGCGAUAAGUAGUGUGAAUUGCAGAAUUCAGUGAAUCAUCGAAUCUUUGAACGCACAUUGCGCCCCUUGGUAUUCCAUGGGGCAUGCCUGUUCGAGCAUCAUUUGUACCUUCAAGCCUUGCUUGGUGUUGGGUGUUUGUCUCGCCUCUGCGCGCAGACUCGCCUCAAAACAAUUGGCAGCCGGCGUAUUGAUUUCGGAGCGCAGUACAUCUCGCGCUUUGCACUCAGAACGACGACGUCCAAAAGUACAUUUUUACACUCUUGACCUCGGAUCAGGUAGGGAUACCCGCUGAACUUAAGCAUAUCAAUAAGCGGAGGA